rnacentral:rRNA from 1 species
UCUGGCGACCAUAGCAAGUGUGAACCACCUGAUCCCUUCCCGAACUCAGAAGUGAAACCACUGUGCGCCAAUGGUAGUGUGGCAUUCGCCAUGUGAGAGUAGGUCAUCGCCAGACCCCAAUCAAAAAAAGCCCUUCUCAUGAAGGGCUUUUUUAUUU